rnacentral:miRNA from 1 species
GGCUGGCCGAAACAUUCAUUUGGAUUUUCCCAUACCAUUUUAUGGAAAAACCGGAACAGACUUUUUGGCCAACCCA